GACGAACGCUGGCGGCGUGCCUAAUACAUGCAAGUCGAACGCUUCUUUCCUCCCGAGUGCUUGCACUCAAUUGGAAAGAGGGGUGGCGGACGGGUGAGUAACACGUGGGUAACCUACCCAUCAGAGGGGGAUAACACUUGGAAACAGGUGCUAAUACCGAAUAACAGUUUAUGCCGCAUGGCAUAAGAGUGAAAGGCGCUUUCGGGUGUCGCUGAUGGAUGGACCCGCGGUGCAUUAGCUAGUUGGUGAGGUAACGGCUCACCAAGGCCACGAUGCAUAGCCGACCUGAGAGGGUGAUCGGCCACACUGGGACUGAGACACGGCCCAGACUCCUACGGGAGGCAGCAGUAGGGAAUCUUCGGCAAUGGGCGAAAGUCUGACCGAGCAACGCCGCGUGAGUGAAGAAGGUUUUCGGAUCGUAAAACUCUGUUGUUAGAGAAGAACAAGGACGUUAGUAACUGAACGUCCCCUGACGGUAUCUAACCAGAAAGCCACGGCUAACUACGUG
rnacentral:rRNA from 1 species